rnacentral:rRNA from 1 species
UCUUUUCUUAGAGAGAUAAUGACGGUAUCUGAGGAAUAAGCAUCGGCUAACCCUGUGCCAGCAGCGCGGUAAUACAGGGGAUGCAAGCGUUAUCCGGAAUGAUUGGGCGUAAAGCGUCUGCAGGUGGUUUUGAAAGUCGAUUGUCAAAAACCAAGGCUUAACCUUGGGCCGGCAAUGGAAACUUCAAGACUAGAGUAUGGUAGAGGUAGAGGGAAUUACCGGUGUAACGGUGAAAUGUGCAGAUAUCGGUAAGAACACCAAAGGCGAAAGCACUCUACUGGGCCAAAACUGACACUCAGAGACGAAAGCUAGGGGAGCGAAUAGGAUUAGAUACCCUAGUAGUCCUAGCCGUAAACGAUGGAAACUAAGUAUUGAUUUUUUUAAAAACGCAGUACUGUAGCUAACGCGUUAAGUUUCCCGCCUGGGGAGUAUGCUCGCAAGAGUGAAACUCAAAGAAAUUGACGGGGGCCCGCACAAGCGGUGGAGCAUGUGGUUUAAUUCGAUGCAACGCGAAGAACCUUACCGGGGAUUGACAUACUACGCAUUUUUUGGAAACGAAAAAGUUCAAACGUAGAUACAGGUGGUGCAUGGCUGUCGUCAGCUCGUGUCGUGAGACGUAGGGUUAAGUCCUGUAACGAGCGCAACCCUUAUUGUUAGUUGCUUUUAGGAAACUAGCAAGACUGCCAGUGAUAAGCUGGAGGAAGGUGAGGAUGACGUCAAGUCAGCAUGCCCCUUAAAUCCCGGGCUACACACGUGCUACAAUGAUCAAGACAAAGAGAUGCUAACUUGUGAAAGCACGCUAACCUCAAAAACUUGAUCUCAGUUCGGAUUGUAGGCUGCAACUCGCCUACAUGAAGCCGGAAUCGCUAGUAAUCGCAGGUCAGCUAUACUGCGGUGAAUACGUUCCCGGGCCUUGUACACACCGCCCGUCACACCAUGGAAGCUGACUAGGCCCGAAAUCGUUGUAAACGCCUAAGGCACAGUUAGUGACUGGGGUG